rnacentral:rRNA from 1 species
UACGUAGGGUGCGAGCGUUGUCCGGAAUUAUUGGGCGUAAAGGGCUCGUAGGCGGUUUGUCGCGUCGGGAGUGAAAUCCAUUGGCUUAACUGGUGGCUUGCUUUCGAUACGGGCAGACUAGAGGUAUGCAGGGGAGAACGGAAUUCCUGGUGUAGCGGUGAAAUGCGCAGAUAUCAGGAAGAACACCCGUGGCGAAGGCGGCUCUCUGGGACGGUACUGACGCUGAGACGCGAAAGCGUGGGGAGCGAACAGG